CCCCCGCGGCCUCGCCCCGCCCCCUUUAGCCUGGGCUUGAGCGCGCGCAGAAGUCAGCUUCGUGACUUCCUUCUCAGGAUGGAACCAGCUUGGUGGCUUGAGGGAAAGGGGUUCUGAGUUGCAAAUCAGAAACUUGAAGAUGAAAUGGCUACUACGCUGGGUAUUGCCUUUAUCUUGAAUGCCAGCCUGAUGGUCCAAGGUGAACAAGCCUUCCUGUGUUUUCUGAAUGGCCCUGAAGGCAGCCCGUAUUUGUCUGGAUGUCUUCAUUCUUCCAGUCUAAGAACUCCUAAUUCAUCUCUGCACUCCCUGAGGCAUCAGCACUUGAGAGUAAACUCCUUUGAAUCCCUUGAGCCCCACGAGGUGGAUUUUCUCUCAAGAGCUCCCAGGCUAUGCUGAUGAAGUACCUCUUCUCUGCUUCUCUCCAGAAUAGUCAAAACCCUCAAAAUCCUCAAAAGUUCCUGGAGGUGGGAGGUUCCACCCCCAACUCUAUCCUCGCCUCUUCUACUGGUCUAGCCCGCAAGCCCCUCGGAGUUCCUGAGGGGCAGACAGGCCCUGGUGCACACAGGCGCUCCAUGCCAGGCCCUUGGGCUCUGGAGCCCCUGACACUGCCCUGGCACCUCAGACCCCAGGACUGGACACCCACAUGCUCCAGCCCAGUCUUCACACAGGAUCUCCUGCCCCCAUGCACACACUGAGGGCCAGGAUGCACCGUGCAACCCCUAUCCUAGUGCUGAACACCCCUUCCUCAGCCAGCUCCCCAAACUCACAGGCUGGAGCUAGGCCCUGGGCCGAGGUUGGGAACCCUGAAAGUGACAAAGGACGAGUAGAGGGGCUGCAGGGAAGCCAAGAGUGAGGGUGUCUGGAGGGCAGGGCCGAGCCCAGCUGAUCCUAGCAGAGCCAGGCCGGGCAGGGUGGAGC
rnacentral:lncRNA from 1 species